rnacentral:tRNA from 1 species
AAGAGGUGUAUGAACAACUAAAGCUGCUAACUUCA